UCCCUGAUUCUGAUUGGUUGAGACACGUUCUAAGCCAUUGUAAAUUACUCUACAAACAUACACCUUUGACCUCAUUACAUCAGUAUUACUGCUCCACUGCGUCUGUUGCUGCAGUUCUGUGUAUUAUGUAUUUCAGCAAAAGUUACUGUUUAUUAUUUAUGAAGUAUGAGUGACCCCUGCUGGCUUUAUGUUGCAUCAUUCAUUCACAUUUAAUUUUGAGACUACACCCUUCUUCUCAUCAAAGAAAGGCUUCUUCACACGUGAGGAGCCGGUCAAUGUCAGGGGUCGGAAUGACAAGGAUAACCAUGAGGGAAAGAGGUGACAGAAACAAACAGAGAACAGAAGGAAAACAUGAUGGCACUCAGACUGGAAGAGGAUGUGCUCUCAUGCAUGAAGACAACUGCUCCUCGCUGAUAGAAGACAUGUUUCGGGAAGGCUUCGAGUGUCAGACGUGCCAAAAUAUGAGGCUGGAAACAGCUUCACUAGAGAGAGCAGCUGUGCUGAGCUCAGAAACAAAGUGGAGAUCGUCCAAAACCACUUUACCAACUGGCCAGCUGGGACAACACCACAGUGAUUCAGCCAAGCGAUGUGACAUUAGUCCAGGAACAUUGGUCAUGAGGUUCUCUGGAAAUAUCCUUUAAUAAAAACGUACAAAUAAUGCCCAGCACAAUUUGAGUAUGAAUGCAAAUGGUCUUUGUUUUAGGGUUGCCAAAUCAAAUGGUGGUGACAGAUGUUGCAAAAAGCUCAAAAAAUGUGAUUAUGCAUUUAGAAAAUCAAAAGGGUGUUGUUUCACGCUACACUUCAUGUGUUGUAAACCCCGAAUGACGCUGUCUGUGAAAUGAAUGCGGUGCUCAAAGGUUACCGUGAGUUGUUUCGCAACAAAAAGCCAAUCAUAAAAGGCCUCAAAUGCUUGCCUCUUUAAAUAUUCAUGUGCUCUGAACAUCACAAAAACGUUCAAAGUGUUUCGUUUCAGCAUCUGAGAGAAAUGCUCUUGUGUGUCUUAGAUUUUUGUUUUUGUAGUGUUUCAGAUAUAACUUGAGUGAAGUUCUUUCCCCAUGACAUUCUCAUUCUACAGAGCAUUUCUACACGCUAUUGAUGAGCAAUAUUUUUUAGCCUGUUUUCUUAGUCUAAAGUGAAAUUUAAGACUAGACUGGUAUAUACUGUAAAUGACAUCAGAGCAAAUGUCUUAGUUCAAACAAAACGGAGAAUUAUGUAAUCAUUUACUCGCAUCAUGUCAUUCCACAUCUUUUACUUUCAUUGAUAAUGGAUGGAUAAAAGGGAAAAAAAUACAUUUUUCAAAAUAUCAUCUUUUGUGUUUCACAGAAGAGAGAAUGUCAUACACACUAUAAACCCUAACGCUUAAAAUAAUUCAUUGGUUUGAGUACAACAAACUUAAAUUAAACAAAUUAGUUAAGUCAAAUGAACUUUUAUGAAUAUUUAGC